GGAUGUAGCUCAGUUGGUAGAGCAUCGGUCUCCAAAACCGAAGGCCAAGGGUUCGAGCCCCUUCGUCC
rnacentral:tRNA from 1 species